rnacentral:rRNA from 1 species
GAUGAACGCUGGCGGCGUGCCUAAUACAUGCAAGUCGAGCGAACGUACGAGAAGCUUGCUUUUCUGAUGUUAGCGGCGGACGGGUGAGUAACACGUGGAUAACCUACCUAUAAGACUGGGAUAACUUCGGGAAACCGGAGCUAAUACCGGAUAAUAUUUUGAACCGCAUGGUUCAAAAGUGAAAGACGGUCUUGCUGUCACUUAUAGAUGGAUCCGCGCUGCAUUAGCUAGUUUGUAAGGUAACGGCUUACCAAGGCAACGAUGCAUAGCCGACCUGAGAGGGUGAUCGGCCACACUGGAACUGAGACACGGUCCAGACUCCUACGGGAGGCAGCAGUAGGGAAUCUUCCGCAAUGGGCGAAAGCCUGACGGAGCAACGCCGCGUGAGUGAUGAAGGUCUUCGGAUCGUAAAACUCUGUUAUUAGGGAAGAACAUAUGUGUAAGUAACUGUGCACAUCUUGACGGUACCUAAUCAGAAAGCCACGGCUAACUACGUG